GAAACCUUCUGCAGCUGCAGAGGCAAUUUGGAGGGAUUAAAAAUUUAUCCUGUUUUGAGCAGAGCUUUCCGCAGGUGCUAGAAUCCACUUAAUCACAGCUACAACAUAACUGAGCAGUUUUUAUAUGCCACCCAUCCCUGGUCUAUCCCUUCACCAGCUCCAUGCCAGGAGGAGAUACGUUAAGCUGGAGGGUCCAGAAGGUGGUGCAGUCGCAUGGCUCUCAGCGUGGUAGUCAAAAACACCUUCCCAUCUGAGAAGUAAACGGGAAUCCUGAAAUGGCUCUUUACAUCCCUAGUGUGAUCAGGUUCACCUUUCCCUGCCUAAAGCUAUGUCUAGACUGCUGAGUUCAUGAUGAAUGGCUAUUUCCAUAUGCCACAACAAUGAGAUUUGGGUAUCCUCUGGAUCUACGUGGUGCCCCUUUGAUCUCUGGUUUUUUGAACAGCAAAACCCGACCUUAUUAUAGUCACUGCCUGAGACAACACUACUUCUGAUGGCCAGCAUAUGGGGAAGAGGCCAGAAUGCAGUCUGGCUGCAGGCACCUAAGUCCUCUGCAAACAGGCCCUCCCAGCAGUGGUCCCAGGAGGCAGAGCUCUUGUAGAAGAGGUAGGAAUGACAGACCAGCAAAUUGCAGACUUUUACA